GGGGUCGUGGAUUAGUGGAAUAUCGCUUCCUUGGCAUGGAAGAGAUCGGGGGUUCGAUCCCCCCCGACUCCA
rnacentral:tRNA from 1 species